rfam:Dipodomys ordii contig_3423, whole genome shotgun sequence.
GGUGGCUCAGUGGUAGAGCACUUGCCUUGCAUGCAUGAGGUCCUGGGUUCGAUUCCUCAGCACCA